GCGGAUGUCAGGAACGACCUGGCAGCAGCAUGACAAAGACGCAAACUGUCAUACUUUGCUAAUGUAGAGUAUCAUAUCUGUGUCCAAUAUCUGUGAUGAAGAAAAAUUGUGCCCUUCUUACCGUUCACCUGAAACUAUCCUUUGAACAAGCCAUCACCAUAUGACAGCUUAAGAGACUCCGAAGAGACGAUGUGCUGGUCGGUGAUUAUUCACCCUGAUGGGUUGAGCAUGAGGGCAGUCCAGUAAGCUUCCAGCGGAGCCGUC